UGACGAGCGCGUGGGCGAUGCCGAUCAGCACCGUGAUCUGCGGGGGAACAGGAGAAGGCCGUGGAAGAGCAGAUGCCCCAUCCCGCCCUUAGGGCCACCAGGGAUCUGGGUGUGGCCUCAAAGGCAAACCUGUGCUCCGGGAGGUUUGUGAGUCUGGACUCUCCCUCAACCCACAGAGAGGCACGAGAACCCUGAGAUUUGCCUCUUCCUGUCCUCUGGGUUACUGCCUUGAUCUUUGCUGACAGAGCAGAGCCUUCAGGCCAGGUUCCCAAACGGUCCCAGUUGGUGACCACAGUGGCUCUCUGCCUCUUCCACAGCUCCAGGAACACAGUGGCUGGAUUGGGAAGGAGAGAGUGCAGUGACACUCAGGGAUGGCUCUGAAAGCCACCCCUCUGUCCCACAGAGCGAGAUGGAGAGUCGUGUGGCAUCCAACCUCAUGCCAACCAGCCUGGACUGCCCUUGGCCCGUGAAGGACAGGUCACCUCUCCAGCUCGAUGAGCUGGCAGGACCCUGAACAUAGAGCAGUGAGGCAAUGGGGAUG